AUGGGUCUGAGGUGGAAGAAACGGUCCUGUGGAUGAGUCAGCAGCUGCCACAGCAGAAAGCAUUUGUGGCCGCUCUGUGCAAAGACGCUGGGUAUUUCUUUUGCUGUUAUCUUAUAGUUUGAGUGGUUUGGAGGAAAAGGCAGAAGCAUGUGGACAGCAGCUCCUCAUGAUUACUUCAUUCGGGGAGGCAGCAUGCUGUGCUGAAAAGUGUUCUGGCUUUGGUGGCAAAGAGAUCAGCUUUGCCAUUUACCAACUGCUUGAUGUGGGACACAUUUCAUCUCUCAAAGACCCAGUUUCCAUGCAUUUGAAAUAAGGAUACAAUAUUUACUUCAGAAAGCUGUUAUGAAGAGUAAAUGCAGAUGUGAAAUUUACAGAUAUUUCCACCUCAUCUGCUCCAGCCAGUACUGCAGUGGGAAGGUCAUGCACUGCACAGUGAUUGCCAGUAGAUGGCGCAAUGGGCCUGCCGCCAUCCCAGGCUUUGUUUCUGAACCCAGCGGGAGAGGGAGAUGACAGAAAUCUUUAUUGCAAACUGGGGGACACCAUUAGCUACAGUGGCCUCCUGGGAUCACCAUUUGCAAUAUAAGCCCAGUGACUUAAAGGAGAGAGUGGAGAGGAAUCAUGGUAAGGCUUGUAACUCCAAGGAUGAAGAACAACCAGGGCUUGGGGAUGGGUGAAGAAUCUUCUGAAGAAGUGACCUGGCUACUCUUAUAAAGCCUUCCAGAAUGCAGAGGGACCCUGGGAAGAGCUGGAGAAGAGAAGAGGAAGAAGGAUGGGAGACGGAAGAUUCUCAGUUGGAAAAAAAAACAGCAGCAAGAAACUUUGUUUACCUUGUUGGUCAGAUUAAAUUUCUGCCACCAAAAGAAAUCGAGAUUGAAAAGCUAAGUUUAAUUAUGGAGAAAAUAAAGUUACAUUUUUUUUUGCACAACAAAGUCAUUGACUAUGAAAUUUAUAAGCAUCAUAUGAAACAGACAAUCUUAUGAAACUUACCAAGGAUGUUUCCAGCAACCCCUUGUUUAGGGAACAGAGUAAAGGGGAGAAAAGGUAGCAUUUUCAAAUCUCAAGAAAGUGUUUUAUGUCAGAAUUCAAUUUGUCCCAGAGCACAGCUGUCAAGAGCUUUGUAAAUCUAGGCCUCUAGGAGGAGAGGGCUAAAGCACUUUCAGGAUAAAGGCUAGAAGCCUAAGGCCCUGAUCAUUUGGGCAAUCCUUGUUAUUGCAUUUGUUGUUCCAUUCUCUGACACUUCUAAAAGGCUGUGGAAUCUCCAGAUGUGUUCAUAAAAUAGUGGUAGCAAUUAUUCAUUGCUUCUAGGAAAGGGAAAUGGAUAUGUUACCAACAAAGCCAGUCCCCAUACAAAUGGAGUCUUUCCCCGUUUAGUGCUGUGAAGCCAAUAUACAAAACCAAAAGUGAGUGUCAAGUAGUGCAGGCUUUAUUCCAUGGCCACUGUAUUAGUCAGGGUUCUCUUAGAGGGACAGAACUAAUAGGAUAGAUGAUAGAUAGAUGAUAGAUAGAGAGAUAGAUAGAUAGAGAGAUAGACAGAUAUAAAGGGAAUUUAUUAAGUAUCAACUUACAUGAUCACGAGGUCCCACAAUAGGCUGUCUGCAAGCUGAGGAGCAAGAAGGGCCAGUCCAAGUCCCCAGACUGAAGAACUUGGAGUCCGAUGUUCAAAGGCAGGAAGCAUCCAGCAUGGGAGAAAGAUGUAGGCUGUGAGGCUAGGUCCAUCUCUCCUUUUCACGUUUUUCUGCCUGCUUUAUAUUCACUGGCAGCUGAUUAGAUUGUACCCACCAGAUUAAGGGUGGAUCUGCCUUCCCCAGUGCACUGACUCAAGUGUUAAUUUCUUUUGGCAACACCCACAGGCACACCCAGGAUUAAUACUUUGUAACCCUCAAUCCAAUCAAGUUGACACUCAGUAUUAACCAUCACAAGUCCACCCCUUGUCAACCUGAACCCAUACACAUCUCCUGAGAUCAUACAUAAUCUUCAAAUAAAGACAAUAAUGAGGUCAUAAU
rnacentral:lncRNA from 10 species